rnacentral:tRNA from 1 species
GCCCAGCUAGCUCAGUUGCUAGAGCAUGAAACCCUUAAGCUUGGGGUUGUGGGUUCAAGCCCCACAUUGGGUG